AUUCUGGCUCAGGAUGAACGCUGGCGGCGUGCUUAACACAUGCAAGUCGAACGGGAUCCAUCAGGCUUUGCUUGGUGGUGAGAGUGGCGAACGGGUGAGUAAUGCGUGACCGACCUGCCCCAUACACCGGAAUAGCUCCUGGAAACGGGUGGUAAUGCCGGAUGCUCCGACUCCUCGCAUGGGGUGUCGGGAAAGAUUUCAUCGGUAUGGGAUGGGGUCGCGUCCUAUCAGGUAGUCGGCGGGGUAACGGCCCACCGAGCCUACGACGGGUAGCCGGCCUGAGAGGGCGACCGGCCACAUUGGGACUGAGAUACGGCCCAGACUCCUACGGGAGGCAGCAGUGGGGAAUAUUGCACAAUGGGCGCAAGCCUGAUGCAGCGACGCCGCGUGCGGGAUGACGGCCUUCGGGUUGUAAACCGCUUUUGAUCGGGAGCAAGCCUUCGGGUGAGUGUACCUUUCGAAUAAGCACCGGCUAACUACGUGCCAGCAGCCGCGGUAAUACGUAGGGUGCAAGCGUUAUCCGGAAUUAUUGGGCGUAAAGGGCUCGUAGGCGGUUCGUCGCGUCCGGUGUGAAAGUCCAUCGCUUAACGGUGGAUCUGCGCCGGGUACGGGCGGGCUGGAGUGCGGUAGGGGAGACUGGAAUUCCCGGUGUAACGGUGGAAUGUGUAGAUAUCGGGAAGAACACCAAUGGCGAAGGCAGGUCUCUGGGCCGUUACUGACGCUGAGGAGCGAAAGCGUGGGGAGCGAACAGGAUUAGAUACCCUGGUAGUCCACGCCGUAAACGGUGGAUGCUGGAUGUGGGGCCCGUUCCACGGGUUCCGUGUCGGAGCUAACGCGUUAAGCAUCCCGCCUGGGGAGUACGGCCGCAAGGCUAAAACUCAAAGAAAUUGACGGGGGCCCGCACAAGCGGCGGAGCAUGCGGAUUAAUUCGAUGCAACGCGAAGAACCUUACCUGGGCUUGACAUGUUCCCGACAGCCGUAGAGAUAUGGCCUCCCUUCGGGGCGGGUUCACAGGUGGUGCAUGGUCGUCGUCAGCUCGUGUCGUGAGAUGUUGGGUUAAGUCCCGCAACGAGCGCAACCCU
rnacentral:rRNA from 1 species